rnacentral:tRNA from 1 species
GCCCCUGUGAUGUAGUGGCAGCCUGCCGUCUUGGUAUGGCGGACGUGUGGGUUCGAUUCCCGCCGGGGGCU